rnacentral:RNase_P_RNA from 2 species
UGAGCUGGCCGGGUGGCCGCGUCGGGGGGAACCCCGCCGAGGAACGUCCGGGCUCCACAGAGCAGGGUGGUGGGUAACGCCCACCCGGGGUGACCCGCGGGCACGUGCAACAGAAAGCAGACCGCCUCCUUGGAGGUAAGGGUGAAACGGUGGUGUAAGAGACCACCAGCACUGUCGGUGACGGCGGUGGCUAGGUAAACCCCACCCGGAGCAAGACCAGACAGCAGGUGAGUUGCUCGCUCACUACCUGCGGGUAGGUUGCUAGAUCGCUGCGGCAACGCAGCGGCGAGAUGGAUGGCCAUCCACGACAGAACCCGGCGUAUAGGCCAGCUCAUUCG